CCUACGGGAGGCAGCAGUAGGGAAUAUUGCUCAAUGGGGGAAACCCUGAAGCAGCAACGCAGCGUGGAGGAUGAAGGUUUUCGGAUUGUAAACUCCUUUUGUUAGAGGAGUUAAGGACGGUAUGUAACGGAUAAGCACUGUCUAACUCCGAGCCAGCAGCGGCGGUAAUACGGAGGGUGCAAGCGUUACUCGGAAGCACUGGGCGUAAAGAGCGCGUAGGCGGGAUAGAAAGUCAGAUGUGAAAUCCUAUGGCUUAACCAGAGAACUGCAUGUGAAACUGUUAUUCUAGAGUAUGGGAGGGGUAGGUGGAAUUCUUGGUGUAGGGGUAAAAUCCGUAGAGAUCAAGAGGAAUACUCAUGGCGAAGGCGACCUGCUAGAACAUAACUGACGCUGAUGCGCGAAAGCGUGGGGAGCAAACAGGAUUAGAUACCCGUGUAGUC
rnacentral:rRNA from 1 species